AGAAUCAACGCUGGCGGCGUGCCUAACACAUGCAAGUCGAACGAGAAAGUGGAGCAAUCCAUGAGUAAAGUGGCGCACGGGUGAGUAACACGUGACUAACCUACCCUUGAGUGGGGGAUAACCUAGAGAAAUCUGGGCUAAAUACCGCAUAAUACCUUCGGGUCAAAGGAGCAAUUCGCUUAAGGAGGGGUCGCGGCCGAUUAGUUAGUUGGCGGGGUAAUGGCCCACCAAGACUGUGAUCGGUA
rnacentral:rRNA from 1 species